GGGUGUAUGGUCUAGUGGUAUGAUUUUCGCUUCGCACUUCUUGGUCGACUUAUGGUCCACCUGAUGCGCCCUGUGAAAGGUCCCCGGUUCAAUCCCGGGUGCAUCCA